rnacentral:misc_RNA from 1 species
GAUGAAGAACGUAGCGAAAUGCGAUAAGUAAUGUGAAUUGCAGAAUUCAGUGAAUCAUCGAAUCUUUGAACGCACAUUGCGCCCGCCAGUAUUCUGGCGGGCAUGCCUGUUCGAGCGUCAUUACAACCCUCAGGCCCCCGGGCCUGGCGUUGGGGAUCGGCGGAAGCCCCCUGCGGGCACAACGCCGUCCCCCAAAUACAGUGGCGGUCCCGCCGCAGCUUCCAUUGCGUAGUAGCUAACACCUCGCAACUGGAGAGCGGCGCGGCCACGCCGUAAAACACCCAACUUCUGAAUGUUGACCUCGAAUCAGGUAGGAAUACCCGCUGAACUUAAGCAUAUCAAGCGGAGGA